rnacentral:lncRNA from 1 species
CCCAAUCCUUCCCCUUCGUACAUCCUCCUGUACACCCGGCCCCCAUUGCUCUGGAAAUGGAGAGUCAGGAGGGUAUUUAAUGUCAUUACUUUCUUUCCUAAACCAGGUCAUUUGUCACCCUAUACCCCAAAGAGCAUGCUGACAUGCCUCUGCAUGAGGUCUCAGGAAGUGAUGGUAGCAUCAGUUCCAGUAGCUUACAGACAGAGGUGUUUGUGAAUGGUGACUUAACAGGAAGUUCUACGAUACACCAAGGAGUUUCUUUGAUUGGAUGCCAGUGUUCUGAGGCCACCCUUGCUGAAGAAUCUUGUAGAAGAGAGGACAGUUUGGAAUUCUGUCCUCUUGGUUCAUUAGACCAUCCCCCUACCCCCGAGGACCUAGAGCUAAUGAUUACUGAGCUCUUAUCCUGCCAAAAGAGGGGUCACGCUGGGGAACAAAACCAGCUACAGUUUUUGUCCUUGGGAUGCAGCCAGCCAAGAGGAAGAAUUCAGAUAACCACCCAAAUCAAGCCACAGUUGUUCCUAAGUAGUUUCAGGGAUGUCAACACCCAGAACUUGAGAGUUUGUGUAGAUGGAAGUGGCUUUGGAGAAACUGUAGCCUGGUCUCUCACUGACAUUUGGAAACAGAGACAUUCGGGAAGCUGCCCCAAGUCUAAGGCCAGAUGGCAAACUGACAGAUCUCAGCCAUUGCAAAUGCCUCCACCCUCCAUGAUGGAUUCAAGGCUUGGCACACACAGGGGCACCCGGCUAAUCUCCAAUCAUGAAAACUUUGGACAAGAGCAAAUCUCCAUGACCUGAGCCCCAGCUGGAGUGAAGCAAUAAGUUGAAAGGGAACUGAAAUCCACCAAAGGCUGGGCCUCCAAAUACUCAAAGAUGGCCUCCUCCACUGGUGACCUCUCCUGACCUUCUCAAGCUGCUCCCUCAUCGACACUCACCAGAAAUGGCAUGGGGGUGACUCAGCCAAGAGCCUGAAAUAAAAUGCUGAUAAGAGGAGCCUGACUCCCA